rnacentral:tRNA from 1 species
GCGCACUUCGCUCAGUGGUUAGAGCACCCUUCUAGAGUUGGGGACAAAAAGUCACGGGUUCGAGUCCCGUAGUGCACA